UCACUAUUUUCUAAUACUUAAUCAUUCAACUUAAUUUUUUUUUUUUCUGUUUUUGUUAACUAUGAACAAUAUAUAUAGUUAAAAAUGUGGACAAUUACGUUUGAAAUUUGAGACAUCGGGUAUCAACUAAAAGAUAAACGAAGCAUAUAACUUGUUAUUUUUCUCUCAAAAAUUUACCAGCAAUGCAUGAUUGUCACUAGGACUGACAAUCCAGCUUGUUAUUCGUGACUCAAUUCGUGUUCGGCUCAAAAUGAGCUUGAGAUCGAAUCGCUCGUUUAGUAAACGAGUCGAACUCGAAUUGAAUUUUACGGCUGGUUUAAUAAAUGAGCUGAAUACGAGCUGGGGUUAG
rnacentral:lncRNA from 1 species